rnacentral:rRNA from 1 species
GACGAACGCUGGCGGCGUGCCUAAUACAUGCAAGUCGAGCGAAGCGGGGACGGGUGAGUAUCACGUAAGGAACCUCCGAUAAGCGGGGGACAACAUCCGGAAACGGGUGCUAAACCGCAUACUUAUCGAUGGCCUUGCGGGGCAUUAGCUCGUGGGUGGGGUAACGGCCUACCAAGGCAAUGUUGCAUAGCCGACCUGAGAGGGUAAUCGGCCACAUUGGUACUGAGACACGACCCAAACCCCUACGGGAGGCAGCAGUAGGGAAUCUUCCGCAAUGGGCGCAAGCCUGACGGAGCAACGCCGCGUGUAUGAAGAAGGCCUUAGGGUUGUAAAGUACUUUCAGCGGGGAGGCGUUACCCGCAGAAGAAGCACCGGCUAACUCCGUGCCAGCAGCCGCGGUAAUAC